rnacentral:piRNA from 1 species
UAUGAUCGUGACCUUUCCCGCCUUGACC